GGUUAAGUAAAUAAGGGCGCACGGUGAAUGCCUUGGCACUAGGAGCCGAAGAAGGACGGGACGAACACCGAAAUGCUUUGGGGAGCUGUAAGUAAGCAAUGAUCCAGAGAUAUCCGAAUGGGGGAACCCACUAUCCGUAAUGGGGUAGUAUCCAUUAGUGAAUACAUAGCUAAUGAGAAGGUAGACGCAGGGA
rnacentral:rRNA from 1 species